GAGUAGUGGGGUGACGACGCAACUAUCUAUUCUUUUGCUUUUUACUAAAGAAUACCGUGUGCUCGCCCCUCCAAGUGGCAUGCGGCUAUUUUUUUAGGUGUCACUCUCGUUAGAGUGGU